CUAAAAAUGUAAUUAAAUUUACAACACAACAUUAAAGCAUCAAUACAAUACAAGGUGGAAUUAAACAUGAGUAAAACAGUCACAAAUAAACACAUUUGGGUGGAACGCCAAGCAGAAGAGAUGGGUCUUAAGAAUGGAUUUUUUUCUACGGUUAAAGGCCUGUACCCUCUGAGCCUGUGCUCUGUCCGCGAAACAUCCAGGAGCAGCUGUUUAGCUGAUCUAAGAGACCAGGAAGGGGAUUGCAACUGUAGCAGAGAGGUAGGGUGGGGCAAAUCCAUUUAAGCACUUAAAAACACAUAAAAGAAAAUGUUAAAAUAAACUCUAAAUUGCACAGGCAGCCAGUGAAGUGAGGAUAAAACAGGAGUACUUUGCUGUCUGAUAUCUUACAAUGUGCGACGCAGCGCAGAUAAAGCCAGCCAAAAACACACAAAAACAACCAAGUAGUGAUGCAAUCAAGAACAACUGGACUGCAACUUGUCUAAGUUCGCCUAUGGCAAUAAAGCUGUGUGGACUGUGAUUGAUCAGUGAUUUCUUGUAAACCAAGUGGAGCUUCUGUCAGAUGUUAAAUCAUUUACAAAGGUGCUGCAAGUGAAUAUGUGUUUGUAUUGUUCCUAAACCACAACUGCUAUUUAAAAAAAAACAAAAACGAUGCAAUCUGACAUCAACUUAAAAAUUCACAGAAAAUAGAUAAAUAAUAGAAAUUAAAUAAAAGCCGAAUAAAGGAUUUUCUUUGCAUGUGUAGACUCUAAAGCUUUAUAACAAAUACAAUGGGGAUGGAGAUGAGGGGUUUAAAUCAUGAAGCUUGAAGCUGCGUCACUUUGGGCGUGGCCACUGACCACAUGGAGUAAUAGGCGACUGCUGACAGAGAUGGCUGAAGCUACUAACUGUCGGCAUUUAGUCAAUGCAGUAAAUGCUAAAGCGAUUGGUUCUUAUGAAGCGAUUUUAUACUUUAUUUAAACACUUAAAAUGCUUUCUUAUUACAAGUCUCAUUCCCCCAGUUGCAGGCCAUUUUCUGAAACUAGCUUGUUGUGUGGACAACAGUCUGUACUGACAGAUUUGGGGUUUUUUUUUAGUGCUUAAAAUUGUACUCUUAUUUCAUUACAUAUAUUUUCAGAGCAACAGAGGCACUUAUGAAUAUACCUUGCUAAUCACUUCCCACUAGCAAUCCACCUUUUCCUCCACAAGUGGUUAUGUAUAGCUAAAAAAUUAAGCUGUUGACAAAAAAAAAAAACGUUUAAACUCAACGCUCCAUAAUGUAGUUUACCAAACAGUGUAUCUAUAAAUACAACCUAUGUUAGGUUUGUCUGGAUGGAGAUCAUUUUAGUUUUAAAAUGAAAAGGUAUUGUUGUAUAUGUAGCCUCUCCUCCUAUUUUCCAGCAGCUAUACCUCCUAUUUUUUGGGGGACGUGGUUGUUGUGCUAAUAUAUCUUCAGCUCUCCUUGAGUCACCUCUUUGAUUUGAUCUCCAGAAUUCUCUAAUAUAUUUUAUCCUUGAUACAUGUAGUUUGUGUAGUGCAUACAUGCCCCUGGUUUAUGCGUGUGUCACAGCAGAGGAGAGAAUCUGUUUCACAAUUACGUGGAGCCGAGCGAGGCGGGCUGACUGACAGGCUCUGCUUGUCUCUCAAAGAGGCAGCGAGAAUUGAGUAGCAGUAAUCCACCACGCACUACUGGGAUUUCACACUGUGACUUCAUGCCUAUACUCUGAAUUAUUUGCUGCCAAGGGAAUUUCACAGUCACACCGGGGGUCCCUCUGCGCUUAAACUGUGCGUAUGUGUCUCUGUACAGUGAGAGCAAUUAAAUGAUUGAUGGUGAUUGAUGUGGCCGGGAUAAAAGAACACGCGCGCACGCACACACACUAAACAGCCCUUCCCCCAUCUCUUCACCAUCCAGGCCAAUCACCAUUAAUCGGCUAAUUGCUUUGCACUUCAGCUCACUGAGUUUGAGGAUUGAAUCACUAUUCAAUUAGAAAAUUGAACUGCUUCAAUUCUCCCAAGGCUCCCACUUCUUUCUGUUUGUCUCUGUCCCCACUCGGUAGCCAUGGUGAUUCUGACAUGAAUGGGUCAUGAGUGUGAUCAAUGAGAUUAUUCCUCCUCCUCUGACAUGUGGAGGUGCGUCACUGGGCAGGAGGGCAAAUACAAUUUUACGGCUGAAGUGUGGAUGCUGUUCAGACAAAACCUUUCAGAAAGCUUUCUCUGCAUUGUUUAUAUAACAAGCAGCUGAUUGUGGAACACAAGUGUCAGCACCACUGUUGAAUCACAGAGGUUUCCCCUGCCCAUCCUUCCUCGGCCUUGUAAAAAUAAACAAAGAAAGAGGUCAGAUAUCUCCCGUGCCUGCCCUGCAGCUCCUGCCCUCCUGAUCCUGGAAGAGAAAGGAAAAGUCAGACAUCUUGUUUUUUCUGCUCUGUCAUGCUCUCUGACACUCACCUGGCAAAGCUCCCCCCUCUGGAACCUCAACUCGCCACUUCCUCUAAUGGACUGCGCUCCUGUGACUCUCACUCCCUGAGCCACCCUGACUACAGUGAUUCCUGCAUUCAAUAAAGUUUUGCGCUAAAGAAG